rnacentral:rRNA from 1 species
GACGAACGCUGGCGGCGUGCUUAACACAUGCAAGUCGAACGGAAAGGCCCUGCUUUUGUGGGGUGCUCGAGUGGCGAACGGGUGAGUAACACGUGAGUAACCUGCCCUUGACUUUGGGAUAACUUCAGGAAACUGGGGCUAAUACCGGAUAGGAGCUCCUGCUGCAUGGUGGGGGUUGGAAAGUUUCGGCGGUUGGGGAUGGACUCGCGGCUUAUCAGCUUGUUGGUGGGGUAGUGGCUUACCAAGGCUUUGACGGGUAGCCGGCCUGAGAGGGUGACCGGGCCCAGUGGGCAGGGGGAGCGGCCCGGGCCCCAACGGGGGCCAGCGGUGGAGAACAUUCCGCAAGGGGCGGCAUGCUGGUGGGAAAACGCCGCGGGGGAGAUGACGGCCUUCGGGUUGAAACCCCUUUUCGAGUGGGACGAGGGGUGAGGGACGGUAAUGGGUAAAAAGGCACCGGUUAAUUCGGU